rnacentral:lncRNA from 1 species
GUACAUUUCAAGAUGCAUGUACUGAAGACAUUGCCUGCAAACUCUAUAGUGAAUAAACGCUUGUAAGUAGUCUUUUUCAGUAAGAUGUUUCCAUUUCUGUCUUUUGUUAAAUAGAAAGGAAAUUAAUAUCGCUGUGAAAUUCACCAGUCGCUUUCUUCGUCCUGCUGAAGCUUCAUUGCUAUUAAUUUCAAAACCCAAACAUGGAAUGGGAGGCGUUACAAUGACUUUUGCUCUAAAAGGCGAAGUCCUCAAUAUUAAAGCAAUUGAAAUUCUUAAAUGUGAAACUCCAUGUUAUCAAUGGAAGCAAGUCAUUGUGCCUUUGAAAAACCCUUUCCCAACUGGUGGAAACUUUAAGUAAGUUAUGGUUUUGGUUUAAUUGUGUUACAAUUAGCUAUUUCCAGUGUAAUGAAAAGUCUAUAUAUUACUUCAUCUCUUCAACAGGAACCGUUUUGAGAAGAAACUACAUGUGUUCACAUUCCUGGAAAUGUAUAAGUAUCAUCAGAUAAAAUAAGACACACAAUGGUAGUAAAUCAGUUUUUUAAAAUUUCUAGUUGAGCAUGUCAAAUUUAUGAGCUUGCAUUUCAGCUUUCUUUUUCUUGAGAUUCAAAGUUCUUGCAGUAUUUUAAAAUUUUUAAUUGAUUGUUUAUUUCUAAUUUAUUCUAUCAGUUAAUGUCCAGAACUAAAAUUUAGUUUCAACACAAAUAACUUUUUUUACAUGCAGCAUCAUGAUUAAUUAAUAUUGGUAUAUUCAGUAUGUGCGUAUCCAUUUUUAGAUUUAACAACAAAAGCAACAAAAAUUGGCAUCAAAAAGAGAAUGUUUAUAUUAUUUAAAGACAAUAAAGAUUUACUUCUUAAAAAUUUACACAUUGAGGGAGAUGGUAGA